GGCUCUCGUAUCACCUAUUCAUUGCAGCAAUGCUAAUUUUUGAAAAACUACAUAAAAAUAUAGUGCUCUUGCUCUAGUCGACAUAAGAAGUUUCAAAAACUGAAUCCAAAAACUAAUUAUGGAGGAUGAAAAAAAAAAAAAAUGGUUUUUGGACACACCUUGGAAAUGGAAUGGCUUUGAAAAAGUUUGAUAGGCAUGGUUGUGGCCAUACGUACGUUUGUGUAUUGAUAAUUUGUUUCCCUUUGUAAACUCUUUGUCUGUGUUCCUCCACGCCACAUACUUCUCUUUGUUUCACAUUCAUUUUUUUUCACUCAAAAAUCAUUUUGUAUAAAGGGUGAUGUUGAUGUGCUG